UAUGUGCGCGUACCGCAGCGCCACCACAUCAGCCGUUGCAAAGACGCUAGACACCAUCUUGGCCUGCAUUCCAACACAGCGUCUUUUGAAUUUUGAAUAUUUUUUAUUUAAAUCUGAAUCCUCGUGUUUGUGGUCUUUUCGUGCACGAUCGUGUUGUUGUUUUUGUGGAUCCUUGCUGGAGAACGUGUGUUCGGUUGGUUUUUAUGGAAAAUUGUCUGCAUUACGUGGACGCGAAGAGUUCCUUGCGAUCUUACAGAUAUCGCUCCGUGAUCGAUGAUAUCGUAUUUUACCGGGCGCAGCCGAUUUGACCGUUUUUGAUUGAAACACGCAUAGAAAGGUUUUUUAACUAUAUUUAUAUGUGUUUUAAGUGAGGAAAACCCAAAACAACUCUUGAAAAAAAAGUUUUCAGAAAAUGCAAAUCAAGCAAUGUUAUGCUCUGGCAGUGCACUCAAGCAAGUCUGUCCAUGCGUUUGGUGUAGCAGCCAGUAGCUGUCGUUCGAGGAGCGGUUAGCCAGACCGCACCAGCUUUAAUUUUGUUUUAUUUCUAACUCGUAGAUUUCUUUUAACUUUUUAAUGUUCUUUGGUUUCAUAGGUUAUUCUUAGGUUUCUUAGGUUUCUUAGGUUUCUUAGGUUUCUUAGGUUUCUUAGGUUUCUUAGGUUUCUUAGGUUUCUUAGGUUUCUUAGGUUUCUUAGGUUUCUUAGGUUUCUCAGGUUUCUUAGGUUUCUUAGGUUUCUUAGGUUUCUCAGGUUUCUUAGGUUUCUCAGGUUUCUUAGGUUUCUCAGGUUUCUUAGGUUUCCUAGGUUAUUCCUACGUUUUUUAGAUUCCUCAGGUUUCUUAGGUUUCUUAGGUUUCUUAGGUUUCUUAGGUUUCUCAGGUUUCUUAGGUUUCUUAGGUUUCUCAGGUUUCUUGGGUUUCUUAGGUUUCUUAGGUUUCUCAGGUUUCUUAGGUUUCUUAGGUUUCUCAGGUUUCUUAGGUUUCUUACGUUAUUCUUACGUUUCUUAGGUUUCUCAGGUUUCUUAGGUUGUUUUGAAAGCGAUUUUGUUUCAGUUUUUGUGUUUCGCUGUUUAGCGUAUGUAAUAACACAGUGAGUACGCAGUAUUUGUGAGUUGCGCCGGGUUUUCUGGUUUUGUCUGUAACUCUGGAAGGUUUGAGUUUCCUCAGUCGGGACCAACGUUUUUGGAUUCAGGAAGAAAAGUUGCAUAUAAAACGCUUAAAAGUAGGUCAGUAGGUCGCGCCCGGUAUAAUUAUAGUAUAUCCCGUGAUCGCCUUUCUACAUCGGCCGACCUAGAGGGAACAGUUCUCGGUUUCUGCCUGUUAUCCGCUGUGCACUGUCGGAGCGUCUUUUACUCGGUCCGCGUCAUACUGCUUUUUUUCCAGUCUCCGCCUGUCGCUUCUUAUUCCGCGACUCUGCAACAUUCGCAGACCAUUCCCAAGCUGCGGACAGGAUCCAACACACUGAGAACCUGCUUUAUGUGCCUGUGUGCCUGAUCCUCGUGAUUCACCGUCCUCUAUUCGGUCCCACGUCCUCCUCACUUUCACGAAAAUGGCUGUUAGGGAAGAGUAUUGGAAAGAAGCAAGAGAACGCGCUCAGCUAACGGACGAAGAGCUGGUUAGCCGGUACAACGCAACUGCGGCGAGCUAUGACCGUAGUUAUUUGUGCUCAUCUAAAGCGCGAGAGCCAAAUAAGGAAACCAAAGCGGGCCGCAGGGAAGCGAGGCAGCGUAAAAGAGAUGAGGCAUUUGUUGUGCAGGGUUAUGCCGUCCCUGAAAAAGGGGUUUUUGAUGAAAAAGGGGCGGCUGUCGAACCUGAACACUAGCGUGCCAAAAGACUACCGCACGUGUAUCGAUCAAGCGGUGAAAGAGACUGUUGGCUGCGAUGACGCCAUCGUGGAUAAAAUGGCAGAGCUUGUCCAUCGUUCCGCAUCUCACUGCAGUCUCUUGGCUAAAGAUUUUUAUAAAGCAGAAGACGUGAAGAGGCUGCUGCUGGAACUGUACCAGAUGUGUUAUGAGUAUAUUGCAGCGCAUGGGAAGAAAAAACAUAAUCUUGUUGUUGUGACCGAUUUCAUUGCUGAACAGUGCUAUGCUGAACGAGAGACCGUGCAGCGCGUGUUAAAAGAGAACGGUUGUAAGAUCUCUUUCAAAUAAAUGCUGUUUGUUUUUCUAUUAUUCUGUUGUCAACUACUUUUGUCAAGCGAACCGUUGAAGAAGUAAUGUGUAUAAAUUGUUAAGUCGCGUGUCAUUUCGCUACAAUAAUUGUGGUAUAAUAAGCAAAGCGUUCCGCUUGGUUGUUGCACAUCUGUAUCGCAUCGUAUAGCUCAAUUUAACACAAUUAUGA